GCGGAGGCAUGCUUACCAUGCAGUCGAACGGCAGCACGGGUGCUUGCACCUGGUGGCGAGUGGCGAACGGGUGAGUAAUACAUCGGAACAUGUCCUGUAGUGGGGGAUAGCCCGGCGAAAGCCGGAUUAAUACCGCAUACGAUCUACGGAAGAAAAAGGCGCGGGAACCUCCGGCCCGCGCUAAAAGGAUGGCCGAUGGCUGACUAACUAGCUAGUGGGGUAAAGGCCUACCAAGGCGACGAUCAGUAGCUGGUCUGAGAGGACGACCAACCACACUGGGACUGAGAAAACGCCCAGACUCCUACGGGAGGCAGCAGUGGGGAAUUUUGGACAAUGGGCGAAAGCCUGAUCCAGCAAUGCCGCGUGUGUGAAGAAGGCCUUCGGGUUGUAAAGCACUUUUGUCCGGAAAGAAAUCCUGAGGGCUAAUAUCCUUCGGGGAUGACGGUACCGGAAGAAUAAGCACCGGCUAACUACGUGCCAGCAGCCGCGGUAAUACGUAGGGUGCGAGCGUUAAUCGGAAUUACUGGGCGUAAAGCGUGCGCAGGCGGUUUGCUAAGACCGAUGUGAAAUCCCCGGGCUCAACCUGGGAACUGCAUUGGUGACUGGCAGGCUAGAGUAUGGCAGAGGGGGGUAGAAUUCCACGUGUAGCAGUGAAAUGCGUAGAGAUGUGGAGGAAUACCGAUGGCGAAGGCAGCCCCCUGGGCCAAUACUGACGCUCAUGCACGAAAGCGUGGGGAGCAAACAGGAUUAGAUACCCUGGUAGUCCACGCCCUAAACGAUGUCAACUAGUUGUUGGGGAUUCAUUUCCUUAGUAACGUAGCUAACGCGUGAAGUUGACCGCCUGGGGAGUACGGUCGCAAAAAUAAAACUCAAAGAAAUUGACGGGAACCCACACAAGCGCGGGAUGAUGUGAAAUAAAUCCACGCAAAACGAAAAACCGAACCUACACCUGACAAACUCGGAAGCCCGAAGAAACUCGGGAGAGACCAAAACAGAACCGAUACACAAGCGCGCAUGAAUGUCGUCAGCCCGCACCACACAGGUCUAUGCUACCGAGCCAGAACUAAGGCACACAAAGAGCACAACCCCAGUCCUACUUACUACCCAACACCACAAUAAGGAGACACCGGGACAAACCAGACGAAGCUGACGAGACGACAAGCCCACAUCGCCCUUAUGGGUAGGGCUUCACACGUCAUACAAUGGUCGGAACAGAGGGUUGCCAACCCGCGAGGGGGAGCUAAUCCCAGAAAACCGAUCGUAGUCCGGAUUGCACUCUGCAACUCGAGUGCAUGAAGCUGGAAUCGCUAGUAAUCGCGGAUCAGCAUGCCGCGGUGAAUACGUUCCCGGGUCUUGUACACACCGCCCGUCACACCAUGGGAGUGGGUUUUACCAGAAGUGGCUAGUCUAACCGCAAGGAGGACGGUCACCACGUAGAUCGUUGUC
rnacentral:rRNA from 1 species